ensembl:lncRNA TRAM2-AS1 TRAM2 antisense RNA 1 (head to head)
GAUCAGUGAAUGGAGAUUACUCAAGUAUUUAUCGAGAACUUGCAGUGGGCUAGGCACAGUUCAGGUAGAUCAACAAACCGAAAGACCCUGCCCUAGGGGAGCUUUCGCUCCAAUGCGGGGAGAGGGUGGAUGAUUGCAGUUUUGCCCAGUAAUUUUUGGGACCCUCAUGCCACCAUUAAUUAGCUACACACAUUUCACCGAAAGUCUACCUUACAUAUUAAUCAGAAGAAGUGGAAGAAUAAACACAGAAGAAGCAAAAAAGGAAGGAACUUUCUCACUGAAAGUUUCUAUUUAAUAUUAAGUCUUAAAAGUACUCCUGGAAGGACAAAAGGUGUUCUUAAUAAAUUAUAUUCGCAAAUAUUGGAUUUAAUCCUACCAGUAAUGAAGCAGUCAGUUACUUUCUAGAUGUGCAGAAAUACGUAAUGAACAAAAAAAACUAAUUCCUAUUCCAUUUUUUAUUAGGUCCACAGUUAUUUCACUUCUAAAUAAAUAUGGUUUUUUAAAAGUGGCACGCGGUGGAAUGUAAUUGAGACAGGAUGGAGUUCCUAGAGAAAUUUUACUUCCUCAAUCUGCACUCCACCUUACUUAAAAUACAGUCUUGGGUCUGUAAUUCCCUUAUCUGACUCUCAAGGAAAUGACAAAGUAAUGCCUAGAUUGGACUAAACCUCAUUUAACUUCAAGGCUGACCUUUCUCAAAGUUGAACCUUCGUCUUGUGAGGAACAGAAAGAUCAAGAACUCUGAAGCACCUCGACUUUCCACCUGUGAAGAUGUGUUCAAAUUUGCAACGUGCGGCCACACCUAUGAGGUUGAACUUUAUACAAUUGGUUUCUUUAUAGGUUUAGAUGGUUGAAUUUAAGUUACCCCCACUGCUAUUAUUAUUAUUUUGAGACAGAGUCUUAACUCUGUUGCCCAGGCAGGAGUGCAGUGGCGAGAUCUGGACUCACUGCAACCUCUGCCUCCUGGCUUCAAGCAAUUCUCAUGCUUCAGCCUGUAGCUGGAACUACAGGUCACUCCCUCUGGAGGAAACCAGCUGCCACUUUGUGAGGAUACUCAUAGUCCUGUGGAGGCAUAUCCUCCAUAUGGCUGAGACCUCCUGCGAACAACCAUCACUGACUUGCCAGACAUGAGUGUGCCACCUUGGAAGCAGAUUUUCCAGCCCCAGUUAAGCCUUCAGAUGACAUCAGCCCCUGCUAAUCUCUUGACUACAACCUCAUGAGAGACCCUGAGCCAGAACUAGCCAGGACCAGCUUGAAGUGUUUCAGGACACUUCUCUCUGUGUGUGCCUCUUGAUUUUGUUCAGAAGCCCAGUACUAUGGAAUACUCUAUCGCAGUGAUAAUUAACUACUCGAUAUGCAAAACACAGACAAAUCUCACAAACAUAAUGUGGAGCAAAAGAAGCCAGAAACAGAAGAGUACUGUGAAAUCCCAUUUAUGUCAAGCUCAAAACCAGGCAAGACCAAUCUGUGAUGUUAGAAGUCAGGAUAGUGGUCCCUUUGUUGGUGGUUGUGGCUGGGAGGGGCUAGAGGGCUCCAGGAGUGCUGGUAAUGCACUAAUUCUUUGUCUGGGUGCUGUUUACACAAUGUGGACAUACUGGGCUGU